UACGUAGGGUGCAAGCGUUGUCCGGAAUUAUUGGGCGUAAAGAGCUUGUAGGCGGUUUGUCGCGUCUGCUGUGAAAUUUCGGGGCUCAACCCCGAACUUGCAGUGGGUACGGGCAGACUAGAGUGUGGUAGGGGAGACUGGAAUUCCUGGUGUAGCGGUGAAAUGCGCAGAUAUCAGGAGGAACACCAAUGGCGAAGGCAGCUCGCUGGGACGGUACUGACGCUGAGACGCGAAAGCGUGGGGAGCGAACAGG
rnacentral:rRNA from 1 species